AUUUUAAGAAGGAAAGAGUCUGAAAAUACUAAUGAGGCAAUUGAGGAUGAAAGUGGAAAAUAAUGUUACUUUAACAAUGUAUGUGCGUCCUGAUAAAUAAUAAAAGUAGGUAUUUAUUUGAAUUAUACGAGGAAAGCAUGAAAUCUGUCUUUUUUUACUUUACCUACUGUUUUCUCCUGUUUUUUUAUUGAUGAGCUGCUGAUUCUUAGUUUCUUGGGGUUGGCAACACAGCUCAGAGAUCACAUUAAAAACAUGUCAAAAUUUUCAAUCUAACUUGUACCUUCUAUUUAUUUUAUAUAACGCAUAGUAAAAAGUAUUUUAAUUCCACAAAGCCUGAAAAAUAAAAUAAAUUAAAAAUGGCAAACGAAGAACCAACAGAUCUGGAUUGGAUACAAUUACGCCGAGAAAUGGGACCGGCUCACCAUGUUGAAACUAGUAAAGAAAAAUUUGUACGAAAAUUUGGUGAAAAUCCGUUUGUUCCUAUAGGUUGCCUUGCUACUGCUGGGGCAUUAUCAUAUGGUUUAUGGUGCUUUCGUACUGGCAGAACUAAACUAUCACAACAAAUGAUGCGAGCUAGAAUUGUCGCACAAGGAUUUACAAUAACUGCUUUAGUUGUUGGUGUUGUAAUGACUGCUGGAAAAACUUUGAAGUAAUUAGCAGCUUUAUAAUUAAAAAAACAAAAAUAUAUAUCUAUUUCAUCAUAGUGGUAAUAAAUUUUAAUGGAUGAUAGUAAUGAUACUAUUUACAAUAUUAUGUAAAUUAACACAAAUAAAGUCUUAAUAUUCUCAUAUGAACAAAUGUUUUAUUUUUAUUUUAUUUCAACUAAAAAUUACAAAAUACUUGAAAUUUAAAAGUUAAAUAAUUGUCUAGUCGUAAACCUAAAUAUUUUUCAUGUUUUCUGCUCGAUUGGAAAGUUGUCAACAGUUUGUGGAUCAUGCGGUGCAAUAAUUUUAAGUUUUAAAUAUAAUUUAACUUGUUUUGGAAGUGUUAAAAGUUAAAAGAUUGUGAUAGAACCAAUUAUGCAGAACAUCUACACCUUGUUGAGCUUGAGUAAUUAUGUCUUUUAUGUUACUACCAAAACAAAAUAAACAGGUGUCAUCUGCAUACAUUCAGAUGACCAUUUAGUUUCAAAGUUGCAACAUCUCUGACAUUGGCAAAUCCUCACGGAAGCCAAUUAUACAAGAAGAAGUUGCAACAUCAUUUAUAUAAAUUCCGGCGGCUGGUCGAAGACAAA
rnacentral:misc_RNA from 1 species